rnacentral:pre_miRNA from 1 species
GCCACCGCCGACACCCGCUCGAAGGGGAGGCCGUGGGUGCCCAAUCCGGCAGCCACGGCCUCCUUGCUAGCAGAUCUGGUCAAUAGA